rnacentral:rRNA from 1 species
AUUGAACGCUGGCGGCAGGCCUAACACAUGCAAGUCGAGCGAGCGGCGGACGGGUGAGUAAUGUAUGGGGACUGCCCGUUAGAGGGGGAUAACUACUGGAAACGGUGGCUAAUACCGCAUACCGUCGGAUAACCCAUAUGGGAUUAGCUAGUAGGUGGGGUAACGGCUCACCUAGGCGACGAUCCCUAGCUGGUCUGAGAGGAUGAUCAGCCACACUGGGACUGAGACACGGCCCAGACUCCUACGGAGGCAGCAGUGGGGAAUAUUGCACAAUGGGCGCAAGCCUGAUGCAGCCAUGCCGCGUGUAUGAAGAAGGCCCUAGGGUUGUAAAGUACUUUCAGUCGGGAGGCGUUACCGGCAGAAGAAGCACCGGCUAACUCCGUGCCAGCAGCCGCGGUAAUAC